GCAGGCUCCAUGCAGGGAGCCCAACGUGGGACUCAAUCCCGGGUCUCCAGGAUCAGGCCUUGGCUGAGCCACCCGGACUGCCCACAUGCUUAGUUCUUAAGAUAUUUUUAUUCAUUGUAGCUAUAACCUUUUCCACACUAAUAAAAUAUAAAAAUAACUUCUCAGCAGUUACAAGAGUCAAUGAAGAAAGCAAGCCUAAGAACCAGAGAAAGGCUCAUACAUCAGGAAUAAGUUCAACAGGAUAAAUUGCAUUGGAACAAUUUAAACCUAAAAAUCUAAAGCUGGGAAUACAUGGGACCCAACUUACCAGAUGUGCAGUGUUUUCCUAUGUGAAAAAUAAAGAAAAUUAUUAGUUUGAAGUUGAUCCCUGCACCACAUCUAGGAAAGCACUGAGGAUUUCAUACUGCAAAUUCAAGCCUGUCACGGGGAUACUGGUUUUUUUUUAAUGGACUGAAUAAUGCAUAAAAAUCUGCAGAGCCAUGCAGAAAGUUUGGAUGCAGUGCCAUUGAGAGCUUUUAUUCUACAGCAAAUCCUACUGUUCUUCCGGUGCUCAUCUAUCUGCUUGUUAUGUCCAGAGACCACAUCCUGCAACCUGGUCUUCUUACUCCUGCCAUCUUCACUUGUGCCACUGACCUUAACCUCUGCCCUUCAUAACCAAGACAUAGUAGAAC
rnacentral:lncRNA from 1 species